AAAAUAAAGAGCAUGAUGUUGGCUCCGAUUAAACGUUAUCUAAGAACAUAAUACAUGCGAAUUAAACUGAGAACAAUACGAAAGUAAAAAUUGUUUAAAGUGGUGUAAACGUGAGUAUAUAUUGGUAUAUGAACUAUAAAUAAAGUUAAAUACUUAGAGGAUAAAAUUUAAUUUAUCUGUUUAUAGUCAAGCCAAUAUUUGAUUAGGUAGUAGUUUGAGUAAAAACCAACCUAGCCGAAGAUCUAAAACCAAUAAUGAAAGUUAUAAUGGUCACGUUGAUUCUGAGAUGGAUCAAUUUCAUAUAGAAACAGCAGUAAGGAAUAUUAGACAAUGAUCUAACGAUUGAUCUAGUUACUUAGAAAGAUGAAUUCUUCACAUAAAAUUUGUUUUAAUAAAAUAAAAGAAAAAUAAAAGGAGAAUAUUGAUAAAAAAUAAAAUCUAAAUUAUAAAGAAAAUAAUGAUAUUAUUUAUAAUGAUAUGUCUUAACAAAAAUUAGUGCCAGCAGUUGCGGUUAUACUAUGAAGGCAAACGUUAAUCAUUAAGGCUUAAAGGAUCCGUAGAAUAAUAAUUAAUAAUUAUUAGAGUUCAAAGUGAGAUUAAAGAAUAAUUAUAGUAAGGAUGAAAUAAUAUUGAUCAUAAUUAGACUGCUAAUAGUGAAGACAUUAAUCUAAAAAUGAACUGACAUUGAGGGAUGAAGGCAUAAGUAUCAAAACGGAUUAGAUACCCGAUUAGUUUAUGCAGUAAACGAUGAAUACUAAUAUUAUAAAAAAAAUUUAUAAUAAUAAGUGAAAACGUAAGUAUUCCGCCCGGUGAGUACGUUCGCAAGAAUGAAAUCCAAGACAAUAGACGGUUACAGAUAAAAGCAGUGGAUUGUGUUUUUUAAUUCGAUAAUCCCCGAUAAAUCUUACCAUUAUUUGAAUAGAUAUAAUCUUUUUGAUUAUAUUUACAAAUGUUACAUCGUUGCUUUUAGUUCGUACUUCAUGGUGUUAGAUUAAGUUCUAUAACGAACAGAACUCUAUAUAUAUUAAACAAUAAAAUAUAUAUGUUAUUAAUAAUAUUAAUAACUAAUGGAAUUAAAGCAAAUCCUGAUGACUUUAAUAUAAUGGGCUAAAGACGCAAUACAAAAUCUUAUACAAAAUUAUAUAAUAUCAUUUUUAAUGAUUUAAUUAUUAAUUAAAAUAAGAUAUCUAUUUAAUUAUUUUUAAUUAAUAUCUAAUUUGAAUUAAUAUCUGAAAUUCGAUAUUAUGAAAAAGGAAUUGCUAGUAAUCAGUUUAUCAUUAUUAAACGGUGAAAUUUACCUCUGUUUCGUACUAAUUACUCAUCAUUCGCUUAAAUUAUUAUUUAAACCCAAAAUAUAUUUACUCUCUAUUUAUCUAUUAUUCUCAUUUUAGAUUAAUUUUCUGUUUAAUAUAUAGAAGUUUAAUAUGAGAUAAGUGAGAAGUUGAAAUACAGUUAUCGUUGAGGAAUCAGCGGUGGUUUGUUAAUUAUC
rnacentral:ncRNA from 1 species